rnacentral:sRNA from 1 species
UGCUAAAUGAGGCAAGGUAUAAUGUUUGGAUCUUAACUUUUAAAAUAUAAGAGUUGUUUUCAGUGGAUUUGAUUCUCCAUUCAGUAAGAUGUGUUGGCCAGGCCCACUGAAUAUGUCUGAAAUUAUUUUUUUCUUUUUUAUCUCUAACAGUAAUAGAUGCAAGAAAAUAAUAUGUGAAAAUUCCAUAAUGUCAGCAUGUACCUUAAACCUUUGUUUUGUAGAAUUCAGAACGUUCUUUCUUUCUGAGGCCAUCUAACUAUUUGGACCAUUUUUUAUUCUUUGUCAAUUGUUUGACUACUGUCCCAAGAAUAAUUUGGAUGGUAAGAUUGUUAAGAGAGGGGAUUAUGCGAUAGCAGCAACGAGGGCAGUUUAUUAUGUUACCCCUGGCAAUCACAGUAGUGCCUCAAAGUGAAACAAGGUUAGUAUGAUUGUAUAUCUGGUAUAAUUGGACAUGGUAUUUCUUAUUGUAUUUAUUUUUGGUCUAAUAGAAGGAUACACGAAUGGGGUUCUGGUGUUAAUAAACUCUUGCAAUUUUUAUUUUAAUGAAUAUUAAAAUGGCAAUUUGCUCCUCCGAUUAAUACUAAUUUGAUUCUGAUGUUAAUAAUUUUAACUACUUUAUAAAUUUUUGCUAUUUUUGUUAUUAUAUCACGCAUUACUAUAUUAUAAAAUUGUGACUUAUAAAUACUUAAUUUGAAAAUUUAUUUUCUCUUAUGAUGUGACAAGAUAUAAUUCUUUACUAGCAAACAAGUUUAGUAAAAUUUUGCUGGAAAAUACUACUUGUAAAUAUUCAAUUGUCUCUAUUAUAAUUGAAAUGACUUAGACAUGAUCUUCGUUAUUCUCUUCAAUGAUUGUCCUGGUGGCAACCAACCUUAUAUAUCCUCGCCAAUGAUACUCUCUUUUUGCUGUAGGCCAGUGUUUAUCUUAAAACAAGUAAUUCAUGUUUAACUUUUUUUUCAGGGGCCAAGCUGAGAAAUAAUUUAAAGUAGAAGUAGAAGCUAUUGGUCGAGUGCGACAUAAAAAUCUUGUGCUUGCAUUAAAGUAUUUGCAUUCCCUGCAUGGGUUGAAAUAGACACGUGGAAAGCUUGGUCUUGGUGCAAAGAUGGUAUUGAUUGAGGAGAAAUAGGUCCAGGGACUAAAUAGGAAGUUGAAGUACGGGCUUGCUUUGUACAUGCGGUGGAGAAAAUGCAAGAGCUAAUAAGUAAAAGUCAGGAAGACAGGUUAGUCUUUUCUUACCAGAAUAUCUUCCCCUCAUGGCCAUUUUCCAAUGCAUGUAGAGUUGGAUUUCUUCUAAGGUUAUUUACCAGCCCAUAAAAAAUCUACCAAAACAUAUUUGAUGGAAUAAUAGCAUUAGUCUUGAUUAUAAAUUAUGGAUUUAUCUUUAAUUUUGGAUGGUUCGUUGUGCUUAAACAUUUAUUGGUUUGUGAUAUAUAGAUUUUAAGUUAUUUAUCUUGUAUUUAUAAUGACCAUCCCACUAUUUACUAU